GUACAUUAGUGCUUGCGCACGACAAUAAUUUCAUUACAUGCGAGUGGGUGUAAAAAUCCUCUGCCAGCCGAGGCCAGCAAGAGGCCAAAGGUUCACAAGAGUGUUGGAUGAAAGUCACCAACGUGCACUUGCCAGAGUGACCCGGCCAGCACUGCAGACAACCAUUCGCAAUCAAUAAUGAUCCUUCCGCAGGUUCACCUACGGAAA
rnacentral:misc_RNA from 1 species